rnacentral:rRNA from 1 species
UACGAGGGGGGCGAGCGUUGUUCGGAAUUAUUGGGCGUAAAGGGUGCGUAGGCGGUUUGGUAAGUCUUAUGUGAAAUCUACAGGCUCAACUUGUAGUCUGCAUGAGAAACUGCCGGGCUUGAGUAUGGGAGAGGUGAGUGGAAUUCCUGGUGUAGCGGUGAAAUGCGUAGAUAUCAGGAGGAAAACCUGUGGCGAAAGCGGCUCACUGGACCAUAACUGACGCUGAUGCACGAAAGCUAGGGGAGCAAACAGG